rnacentral:rRNA from 1 species
AACUCUGCCCUUAUGACCUGGGCUACACACGUGCUACAAUGGGAAGUACAACGAGUCGCUAGACCGCGAGGUCAUGCAAAUCUCUUAAAGCUUCUCUCAGUUCGGAUUGCAGGCUGCAACUCGCCUGCAUGAAGCCGGAAUCGCUAGUAAUCGCGGAUCAGCACGCCGCGGUGAAUACGUUCCCGGGCCUUGUACACACCGCCCGUCACACCACGAGAGUUUGUAACACCCGAAGUCGGUGAGGUAACCUUUUUGGAGCCAGCCGCCUAAGGUGGGAUAGAUGAUUGGGGUGAAGUCGUAACAAGGUAGCCGUAUCGGAAGGUGCGGUUGGAUCCCCCUCCUAA